GAUGAACGCUGGCGGCGUGCCUAAUACAUGCAAGUCGAGCGAACAGAUGAGGAGCUUGCUCCUCUGACGUUAGCGGCGGACGGGUGAGUAACACGUGGAUAACCUACCUAUAAGACUGGGAUAACUUCGGGACACCGGAGCUAAUACCGGAUAAUAUAUUGAACCGCAUGGUUCAAUAGUGAAAGACGGUUUUGCUGUCACUUAUCGAUGGAUCCGCGCCGCAUUAGCUAGUUGGUAAGGUAACGGCUUACCAAGGCAACGAUGCGUCGCCGACCUGAGAGGGUGAUCGGCCACACGGGAACUGAGACACGGUCCAGACUCCUACGGGAGGCAGCAGUAGGGAAUCUGCCGCAAUGGGCGAAAGCCUGACGGAGCAACGCCGCGUGAGUGAUGAAGGUCUUCGGAUCGUAAAACUCUGUUAUUAGGGAAGAACAAAUGUGUAAGUAACUAUGCACGUCUUGACGGUACUUAAUCAGAAAGCAACGGCUAACUACGUG
rnacentral:rRNA from 1 species